rnacentral:rRNA from 1 species
UACAGAGGGUGCGAGCGUUGUCCGGAAUCACUGGGCGUAAAGGGCGCGUAGGUGGCGAGCCAAGUCCAUGGUGAAAGCUCGAUGCUCAACAUCGAGUCGGCCACGGAUACUGGUGCGCUGGAGCACUGUAGAGGCAGAUGGAAUUCCGGGUGUAGCGGUGGAAUGCGUAGAUAUCAGGAGGAACACCGGUGGCGAAGGCGGUUCUCUGGGCCUGUACUGACGCUGAGGAACGAAAGCGUGGGGAGCGAACAGG